ACUCCUACGGGAGGCAGCAGUGGGGAAUAUUGGACAAUGGGCGAAAGCCUAAUCCAGCCAUGCCGCGUGUGUGAAGAAGGUCUUCGGAUUGUAAAGCACUUUAAGUUGGGAGGAAGGGCAGUAAGUUAAUACCUUGCUGUUUUGACGUUACCGACAGAAUAAGCACCGGCUAACUCUGUGCCAGCAGCCGCGGUAAU
rnacentral:rRNA from 1 species